GACAGAGGUGCCGAGCGUAGGCGGAAUCACUGGGCUUAAAGCGUGUGUAGGCGGAUCGUUAAGUACCUUGUGAAAUCCCACGGCUCAACCGUGGAACUGCUGGGUAUACUGGCGGUCUUGAGCCACCUAGGGGCGAGCGGAACAAGCGGUGGAGCGGUGAAAUGCGUAGAUAUCGCUUGGAACGCCAACGGUGAAAACAGCUCGCUGGGGGUGUGCUGACGCUGGAGACACGAAAGCCAGGGGAGCGAACGGG
rnacentral:rRNA from 1 species